CAGCGCCAUGAGUGGCAAUCAUCAUUAUUGGGCCUAAAGCGUCCGUAGCCUGUUUAAUCAGUCUUUUGUGAAAUCGUUUGGCUUAACCUAACGGUGUGCAAAAGAUACAGUUAAACUUGGAACCGGGAGGAGUCAGAGGUAUUCUAAGGGGAGCGGUAAAGUGCUAUAAUCCUUAGAGGACCACCUGUGGCGAAGGCAUCUGACUAGAACGGAUUCGACGGUGAGGGACGAAAGCCAGGGGAACAAACCGGAUUAGAUACCCGAGUAGUCC
rnacentral:rRNA from 1 species